CAGCCGCCGCGGGAAUACGUAGGUGGCAAGCGUUGUCCGGAAUUAUUGGGCGUAAAGGGCUCGCAGGCGGUUUCUUAAGUCUGAUAUGAAAGCCCCCGGCUCAACCGGGGAGGGUCAUUGGAAACUGGGAAACUUGAGUGCAGAAGAGGAGAGUGGAAUUCCACGUGUAGCGGUGAAAUGCGUAGAGAUGUGGAGGAACACCAGUGGCGAAGGCGACUCUCUGGUCUGUAACUGACGCUGAGGAGCGAAAGCGUGGGGAGCGAACAGGAUUAGAUACCCGCGUAGUCCUUGUCUCUUAUAC
rnacentral:rRNA from 1 species